UCCUCCUGUAGACAAGACUAACAUGAGGAGUUUUUGCUCCACAAAUGUACAUUGCUUGUCCUUUCACAUAGUUGGUUUGCUGAUUAAAACACAAUAUUAAAUUAAAAAUCAGUCAAAACCAGAGAGGUAGUGUCUGAAAAGAUGUUCUCUCUGCUACAUUUUUCCCCUCUUUGUCCACAGUACAGAUUUUUAAUGCAGCACUACUGGGACUACAAAUUCAUAGACUUGUGUCAAGCACUGUAGCAUUAAACAACGAGAAAUCUAAUUUCCUGCUGGGAGUGCAGAGAUGAUUGAUAGUAGCCAUUCCAUCUGAAAAGUCCCUGUAAAUCUUAACGCAUUCUGGAGGUGUUGUUCUUUUCCCACUGCUGUGCUUUUGAGACUAAAAAGCACUGAACUUACAGAAGCACUGAAGGAAAGCAUUCUUCUUCCUUGCCCACAUACAUUUUCGUGUCAGUACUUCGUGUAGUCAAGCCAACAGCUGAAUUACCGAGUAGCAGGAGAAUUUCUGCAAUACUGAAAUCAUUUGUGCUUGGAUGUGCUGUGCUGCUCCACAGGGAUGUGUCUGUCAUGUGCUGGUGUUGUAUGAACUGCCUGUCAUUAGAUGCCCACUCAGGCUGUGAGAAUUGGUGCUGACAGAUGCUGUGCAGAUUCAGAGGGGCUCCUUCUCAUCAGCAGGGUGAUGUUUCUACACAAAUCCGUGUACUUCAGUCACUUCUGUCUUGGGAUUCAUUGUUUCUGAUUUUAUUCACUCAGCAUAUGUAUCCAUUUCUCCUUGUUGCUCUUUCUAAAAAUCUCUCUUUAUGUUCCCCAUUUGCCACUCAUUCCUCAGCAUUUGCUUUCUUUGUCCUCCACACACCUCCUUUGUUCCAGGUGACUGGAUAACUCCAUAUUGUAAAAUUGACUUAAUCUCAGUGAAUAGGUGUCUCUUGAACACUGGAUUAGUUUUGUGGAAUUGCUAAGCAGCUUUCAUAUAACCUGACUAUAAAAAAAAUCCUUCAAAGUGCUUCAUAAUUAGACAGAGAGCACAAAUGACUUUUGGCCAAACUAGGCACUGUGAAAUAAAUCUGAUUAUUAUUUGAUUCUCCUUAACUUCUUGAGGACCUAUUAAAAUUAACAUUAAGGGGUAACCAUGAGAGAUUAGGUGCUUUACUGAAUUUUUCUUUAAAACAUAAGUGAAAGAAGGCUUGUAUUCCUGCUUGCAGACACAUGAUGCCUUUUUUUUAUCCUACCUGUUAUUCUGAAAACAUCCCAUUGCAAAUAAUCAGUUUGACAAC